GACGAACGCUGGCGGCGCGCCUAACACAUGCAAGUCGAGCGAGAACCAGAGCUUCGGCUCUGGGGAAAGCGGCGAACGGGUGAGUAACACGUGGGUAAUCUGCCCUCGGCAUCGGGAUAGCCCGGGGAAACCCGGAUUAAUACCGAAUGGCCUCUCGCACUCUCGGGUGCGAAAGAAAAGGUGGCUUCGGCUUCUGGCCGAGGAUGAGCCCGCGGCCGAUUAGCUUGUUGGUGAGGUAAUGGCUCACCAAGGCUCCGAUCGGUAGCUGGUCUGAGAGGACGAUCAGCCACACUGGGACUGAGACACGGCCCAGACUCCUACGGGAGGCAGCAGUGGGGAAUCUUGCGCAAUGGGCGAAAGCCUGACGCAGCGACGCCGCGUGCGGGAUGAAGGCCUUCGGGUUGUAAACCGCUUUCAGCAGGGACGAAGCGAAAGUGACGGUACCUGCAGAAGAAGCACCGGCUAACUACGUGCCAGCAGCCGCCGUAAAAC
rnacentral:rRNA from 1 species